rnacentral:rRNA from 1 species
UACGGAGGGAGCUAGCGUUGUUCGGAAUUACUGGGCGUAAAGCGCGCGUAGGCGGCUUUGUAAGUUAGAGGUGAAAGCCUGGAGCUCAACUUCAGAAUUGCCUUUAAGACUGCAUCGCUUGAAUCCAGGAGAGGUGAGUGGAAUUCCGAGUGUAGAGGUGAAAUUCGUAGAUAUUCGGAAGAACACCAGUGGCGAAGGCGGCUCACUGGACUGGUAUUGACGCUGAGGUGCGAAAGCGUGGGGAGCAAACAGG